rnacentral:tRNA from 1 species
UUGUGUAGUAGCCAAGUGGUAAGGCAACAGACUUUGACUCUGUGAGCAUAGGUUCAACUCCUAUCUGCACAAU